UACGUAGGGGGCAAGCGUUGUCCGGAUUUAUUGGGCGUAAAGCGCUCGCAGGUGGUUCGUCGCGUCGUGCGUGAAAGACCCCGGCUCAACUGGGGAGGGUCGUGCGAUACGGGCGAACUGGAGGCCAGUAGGGGGAUGCGGAAUUCCGGGUGUAGUGGUGGAAUGCGUAGAGAUCCGGAGGAACACCAGCGGCGAAGGCGGCAUCCUGGACUGGUCCUGACGCUGAGGUGCGAAAGCGUGGGGAGCAAACAGG
rnacentral:rRNA from 1 species